CCGAGUUGUAAUUUGUAGAGGAUGUUUCUGGCGACGUGCCUUCCGAGUUCCCUGGAACGGGACGCCAUAGAGGGUGAGAGCCCCGUACGGUUGGAUGCCUAGCCUCUGUGAAACUCCUUCGAC
rnacentral:rRNA from 1 species